GCUCAGAGUGAACGCUGGCGGUAGGCCUAACACAUGCAAGUCGAACGGCAGCACAGUAAGAGCUUGCUCUUAUGGGUGGCGAGUGGCGGACGGGUGAGGAAUACAUCGGAAUCUACCUUUUCGUGGGGGAUAACGUAGGGAAACUUACGCUAAUACCGCAUACGACCUUCGGGUGAAAGCAGGGGACCUUCGGGCCUUGCGCGGAUAGAUGAGCCGAUGUCGGAUUAGCUAGUUGGCGGGGUAAAGGCCCACCAAGGCGACGAUCCGUAGCUGGUCUGAGAGGAUGAUCAGCCACACUGGAACUGAGACACGGUCCAGACUCCUACGGGAGGCAGCAGUGGGGAAUAUUGGACAAUGGGCGCAAGCCUGAUCCAGCCAUACCGCGUGGGUGAAGAAGGCCUUCGGGUUGUAAAGCCCUUUUGUUGGGAAAGAAAAGCAGUCGGCUAAUACCCGGUUGUUCUGACGGUACCCAAAGAAUAAGCACCGGCUAACUUCGUGCCAGCAGCCGCGGUAAUACGAAGGGUGCAAGCGUUACUCGGAAUUACUGGGCGUAAAGCGUGCGUAGGUGGUUGUUUAAGUCUGUUGUGAAAGCCCUGGGCUCAACCUGGGAAUUGCAGUGGAUACUGGGCGACUAGAGUGUGGUAGAGGGUAGUGGAAUUCCCGGUGUAGCAGUGAAAUGCGUAGAGAUCGGGAGGAACAUCCAUGGCGAAGGCAGCUACCUGGACCAACACUGACAC
rnacentral:rRNA from 1 species